GAUGAACGCUGGCGGCGUGCCUAAUACAUGCAAGUCGAACGCUGAAGCUUGGUGCUUGCACCGAGCGGAUGAGUUGCGAACGGGUGAGUAACGCGUAGGUAACCUGCCUCUUAGCGGGGGAUAACUAUUGGAAACGAUAGCUAAUACCGCAUAAAAGUCGAUAUCGCAUGAUAUUGAUUUGAAAGGUGCAAAUGCAUCACUAAGAGAUGGACCUGCGUUGUAUUAGCUAGUUGGUGAGGUAACGGCUCACCAAGGCGACGAUACAUAGCCGACCUGAGAGGGUGAUCGGCCACACUGGGACUGAGACACGGCCCAGACUCCUACGGGAGGCAGCAGUAGGGAAUCUUCGGCAAUGGGGGCAACCCUGACCGAGCAACGCCGCGUGAGUGAAGAAGGUUUUCGGAUCGUAAAGCUCGGUUGUAAGAGAAGAACGAGUGUGAGAGUGGAAAGUUCACACUGUGACGGUAACUUACCAGAAAGGGACGGCUAACUACGUG
rnacentral:rRNA from 1 species